AGGUGCCCUGCGGUGAGAGAAGACAUUGGAUGAAUGCAGCAAAUAUGAUAUGAACUUUGUUUAUGUAUAUUCAUUUCAUCCUUUCUUUUUUUUUUAUAUAUAUAUAUCCUCUUUGUGUUUGGAGAGCGCUGAAGCCAAUUCCUGCUGACUGAGCUAAAGGCAGACGACAACUUGGACUGGUCGCCCACCAAGGGAAAAGCAUAUGAAUGGCGUUUUCAUUUGUCUGGUAUUUUUGUAAAUAGGUGGAAAAUGGCAUUUGCAGUGUUGUGGGAAUGAACACAGCUGACUUGUUUCUACGCUUGCGGCUCUUCUCAUUUAAAUUCCGCGCAGGGCAGGCUUGCAAACUAAAUGGCGUGACCAUAAACUGCCUGGACCGAGUCCAUAGUGGAAAAGUACAAAAUGUUAAAUGAACAAAAAGGGAGCCUGACUUGAUACUUACAAAACAUAAACAUGGAGUGAAGUAGCACCAGCAGAGUUUCAUGAGCGGAGAAGGACGAUAGCCAAUCAUAUCUGUGAUGUUCCCAUAGAAACGCUCAGCCCCUGUGAGGUAAAGCGGGAGGCAUUUAGACUUUGUUUUUAGACUUCUUUUCAUAAUGCAUACCAUAGAGCCAAGCAAUGCUGACAGACUGGCAGAUGGAGAGCAGGAGCAGGGUGGUCCCACUGCAGACGUAGAAAUCCACCAGCUGGAGCAGAGAAAGUCCCAGCAGAAAGGACACGGUGCAGAUGGCCAGAAGAACCAGCUCACGUCUGUAGCCUUGACGUAGGUAAAGCUUACCUGACUAUCCAAGCCGAGUAGAAUGAGCAUGAGGAAGAAACACACGGCCCACACCUGCGGCACGGGCAUCAUGGCCACAGCACGGGGAUAAACAAUAAAGG